AGUAGGGGUGCUCCGAUUGAUCGGGUACUGAUCACUAUCGGCCGAUAAUUGCUUGGGGAUGUUUGAUUGGCGGUCUCUAAAAAUGCCGAUCUAAAAACAAACAAUCUCUAGCUGAUGACGCGCCUGCUGUGAGAGAUUUGCCACGACAUGCAGUGCACCGUCUCAGUCUUUGUCCGGCGCCGGUGAAAUAAUUAUAAUGCUGAAGAUGAGGUAAGCACUUUGCCUGCCCUGCACUGUGUUGGCAGUUGAAUAAGGGGUGCCUUGUGUCGCCCUGGUGUUCUAGAUUGUUCUGUAUGAAGUGUGGGAGACCGAAGAAGGUAAGUCUCUCCUUGACAUUUUGGAUGUAAUUCUUGCUGGCCCGGGGUCAACAUCGCCAGUCCUGACCAUGGCCG